GGAUUCUUAGCUCAGCUGGUUAGAGCAGCUCACUCAUAAUGAGCCGGUCCUGCGUUCGAGCCGCAGAGGAUCCA
rnacentral:tRNA from 1 species